rnacentral:sRNA from 1 species
GCUAGGAGUGGUGGUGCAUGCCUGUAACCCCAGCAACUCAGGAGGCUGAGGCAGGAGGAUUGCAAGUUCAAAGCCAGCCUCAGCAACUUAGCAAGGCUCUGAGCAACUUAGUGAGACUCUGUCUCAA